AUUGAACGCUGGCGGCAGGCCUAACACAUGCAAGUCGAACGAGUGGCGGACGGGUGAGUAAUGUCUGGGAAACUGCCUGAUGGAGGGGGAUAACUACUGGAAACGGUAGCUAAUACCGCAUACCAUCAGAUGUGCCCAGAUGGGAUUAGCUUGUUGGUGGGGUAACGGCUCACCAAGGCGACGAUCCCUAGCGGGUCUGAGAGGAUGACCAACGACACUGGGAUUGAGAAACGUUCCAGAUGCCUACGGGAGGCAGCAGUUGGGAAUAUUGCACAAGGGGGGAAAGCCUGAUGCAGCCAUGCCGCGUGUAUGAAGAAGGCCUUCGGGUUGUAAAGUACUUUCAGCGGGGAGGCGUUACCCGCAGAAGAAGCACCGGCUAACUCCGUGCCAGCAGCCGCGGUAAUUC
rnacentral:rRNA from 1 species